rnacentral:sRNA from 1 species
GUCUGUGUGAGAUACAAGGCAUAAACUUCGCUCAGGAUAAUUGGAUUUUUUAAAAAUUCGACAGGGUACUUAACUUGCUUUGAUUACAUCGUGUGACCCGAAGGAAGGUGACUUUUUUUUCCGGAAUUUAAUUUGAAAUGAACCAUGUGGAUAUGCCUGGAAUGGAUAUGCACGGUAUGGAUACGACCACUCAGAGUGUAUCCAGUAACACAAGCACACCUCCAGACAUGACCGGCAUGGAUGCGUCUAAUAUGGAUACACAAGGCAAUGAUGCCAUGAACAUGAUAAUGAGUUAUUACCAUGUUGGUUAUAAGGAAUUCAUUUUGUUCUAUGAGUUACGUACCCUUUCUGCUGGUGGUGAGUACAUUGAUACAAUAUGGCUCUGUCUGUCUUUGCUCUCUCCUUUCUCUCGAUUUUAUUUUAUCUAUUU